CACCCCACAACAUCUCAUGCUAAUAGAAUGGUUGCAUCUUUUCGAUGCAACUGAACCACUGUAUCCAAUCGAGAAUAAUCAAUACUAGGAAGGGUCUGCAUAUUUACAAUGGUGGAAGAUCGCUCAAUUUAAUAUCUAUAAGAAGAUUUAAUUUAGAUCUUCUUUAGGUUUUAAUUAUUUAUUUACAUCACAUGUAAAUUCAUAAUUACAUUGGAUCUACUUGAGAGAUCCUAUCUUGGUUCACC
rnacentral:lncRNA from 1 species